CAGAAAAUAGUAUAUAAUAAUUAGUAUAUAAAUUUUGGAUAUUUAUGGAGAAAAAUCUUUUCUGA
rnacentral:tRNA from 1 species